AUACUCUGGUUUCUCUUCAGAUUGUAUGAACCUUUCGCCUUUUAUUAAAGAUUUCUGUGGGGAAGAACGACGCUAGUCUUUGACCAACUUUUUUAGGCCUUGCAUUUGCAGGGCU